rnacentral:rRNA from 1 species
ACGCGAAGAACCUUACCCAGGCUUGAACAGCGAGUGACCAUCGACGAAAGUCGACUUCCGCAAGGACAAUCGUAGAGGUGCUGCAUGGCUGUCGUCAGCUCGUGUCGUGAGAUGUUGGGUUAAGUCCCGCAACGAGCGCAACCCUUGUCUGCUGUUGCCAUCAGGUUAUGCUGGGCACUCUGCAGAGACUGCCGGUGAUAAACCGGAGGAAGGUGGGGAUGACGUCAAGUCAGCACGGCCUUUAUGUCUGGGGCUACACACGUGCUACAAUGGCAGAUACAAACCGUCGCGAGACCGCAAGGUGGAGCUAAUCGGAGAAAGUCUGUCUCAGUUCGGAUAGCAGGCUGCAACUCGCCUGCUUGAAGUUGGAAUCGCUAGUAAUCGCGGAUCAGCACGCCGCGGUGAAUACGUUCCCGGGCCUUGUA